GAAAUCAGUUAUUACUUAACAUACACAUGCAAGUCUCCGCCCCCCUGUGAGAACGCCCUUAAAUCCCUUCGAGGGAUAAGGAGCUGGUAUCAGGCUCAAAAAUUAGCCCACGACACCUAGCUUCGCCACACCCACACGGGAACUCAGCAGUGAUUAACAUUGAAAAUAAGCGACAGCUUGAAUCAGUUAAAGUAGAGAGAGCCGGCUAAUCUGGUGCCAGCCGCCGCGGUUACACCAUGUGACUCAAACUGACCUCUUUCGGCGUAAAGCGUGAUUAAAGCCCCCCCCACUAACUGCAAUUAAACCAGAACUGAGCUGUAACACGCCUAUUCCUGAGAACCACAUAAACGAAAGUUAUUGCAACCUUAAACUUGAACUCACGACAGCUGGGAAACAAAC
rnacentral:rRNA from 1 species